CCGUGGCGAAUAGCUCAGUAACACGUGGCCAAACUACCCUAUGGACCCGGACAACCUCGGGAAACUGAGGCUAAUCCGGGAUACGGCUCCCACGCUGGAGUGCGGGGAGUCGGAAACGUUCCGGCGCCAUAGGAUGUGGCUGCGGCCGAUUAGGUAGACGGUGGGGUAACGGCCCACCGUGCCGAUAAUCGGUACGGGUUGUGAAAGCAAGAGCCCGGAGAUGGAAUCUGAGACAAGAUUCCAGGCCCUACGGGGCGCAGCAGGCGCGAAACCUUUACACUGCACGACAGUGCGAUAGGGGGAUCCCGAGUGCGAGGGCAUACAGUCCUCGCUUUUGCACACCGUAAGGUGGUGCGCGAAUAAGUGCUGGGCAAGACCGGUGCCAGCCGCCGCGGUAAUACCGGCAGCACAAGUGAUGGCCGCUUUUAUUGGGCCUAAAGCGUCCGUAGCCGGCCGAACAAGUCCGUCGGGAAAUCCAUCCGCCUAACGGAUGGGCGUCCGGCGGAAACUGUUCGGCUUGGGACAGGAAGACUCGAGGGGUACGUCCGGGGUAGGAGUGAAAUCCCGUAAUCCUGGACGGACCGCCGAUGGCGAAAGCACCUCGAGAAGACUGAUCCGGCGGUGAGGGACGAAAGCUGGGGUCUCGAA
rnacentral:rRNA from 1 species